AAAUUGAAGAGUUUGAUCAUGGCUCAGAUUGAACGCUGGCGGCAGGCCUAACACAUGCAAGUCGAACGGUAGCACAGAGAGCUUGCUCUCGGGUGACGAGUGGCGGACGGGUGAGUAAUGUCUGGGAAACUGCCUGAUGGAGGGGGAUAACUACUGGAAACGGUGGCUAAUACCGCAUAACGUCGCAAGACCAAAGAGGGGGACCUUCGGGCCUCUUGCCAUCAGAUGUGCCCAGAUGGGAUUAGCUGGUUGGUGAGGUAACGGCUCACCAAGGCGACGAUCCCUAGCUGGUCUGAGAGGAUGACCAGCCACACUGGAACUGAGACACGGUCCAGACUCCUACGGGAGGCAGCAGUGGGGAAUAUUGCACAAUGGGCGCAAG
rnacentral:rRNA from 1 species